rnacentral:ncRNA from 1 species
CGGGGGACAGAGUGACAGGUGGUGCAUGGUUGUCGUCAGCUCGUGUCGUGAGAUGUUGGGUUAAGUCCCGCAACGAGCGCAACCCUUGAUCUUAGUUGCCAGCAUUCAGUUGGGCACUCUAAGGUGACUGCCGGUGACAAACCGGAGGAAGGUGGGGAUGACGUCAAAUCAUCAUGCCCCUUAUGACCUGGGCUACACACGUGCUACAAUGGA